AGAUGAGUCAUUUCAUACCAGCUCGUGGUCUCCCUUCAGCUAAACAGACUGCUGACCUUGUUAUUCGGGAAAUAUUUCGCUUGCAUGGAGUGCCUGAUGAAGUAAUUUCUGACAGGGGAGUGCAGUUUACACCUCAUUUUUGGAAAUAUUUUCUAUAAUAUGUUCUAUUCUAGGUAUUAAUGUAAAUCUGUCUUCAGCUUUUCAUCCACAAAGUAAUGGACAGACUGAGCGAACCAACCAUACUUUAGAACAAUAUUUGCGGUGCUAUAUUAGUUACCUGCAGGAUGACUGGCUGGAUUUUAUACCCACGGCGGAGUUUGCCUAUAACAAUGCCCAACACUGCUCCACUUCUCUGAGCCCAUUUUUUGCCAAUUAUGGUUACCAUCUAACCUUUCUAGUGAGUCUACCAAUUACUACUCCCAUUCCUGCAGUCACUGACCGGCAAACCGCCUUAAGAGAUUCCCAAGAACUGUUGAAGGAGACUCUUUCGGAGGCUCAGGAAUGUUACAAAAGAGCUGCUGAUAGGCACAGAAAGGAGGCCCCAGUUUAUCAUGUUGGUGACAAGGUUUGGCUGUCAACAAAGAAUCUUAAGCUUAGGAUUCCUUCUCAUAAAUUGGGUCAAAAGUUCAUGGGACCUUUUAAGAUAAUCGCUCAGAUCAAUGCAGUCACCUUCCGUCUGCAACUUCCGGAUUCCAUGAAAAUACAUCCAGUGUUUCACGUGGCACUGCUUAAACCUUUUCAUGAAAAUACUUUCCCUGGUCGAGCCUUGCCUGCCCCACCACCAGUCCUCGUGGAUGGUGAAGAUGAAUACGAGGUGGAAAAAAUUCUUGACUCCAGAAUCUUCCGCAACAAGCUUCAAUAUUUGGUUCAUUGGAAAGGCUAUGGUGAGGAGGAUAGAUCGUGGGAACCAGUGGACAAUAUUCAUGCUCCUGAUCUUCUUCAGUCUUUCCAUGCACAGUACCCUGCUAAACCAGGAAAUAGGGCAUCCAGAGGCUGCGGCUGUAGAGGUGGAGGUAAUGUGAGGAACUGACUCUGCUGGGUUUUGAACCCUGGUUUACAUGGUGCUAAACCUCUUCCUUACCAGUACACCAGCCUGCCUUUUGCAAAUUUACCUGAG